rnacentral:snRNA from 1 species
GAUCCGAGGACAAUCUAGUUGUGACAUCAAUCACCAGGAUUGAUUUUGCUGAUCUGGUUGGCUGGUUAGGUGUGUUCUCUUUCUGGCUUACCAUUACAUCCCCAUCCUUCCCCGAGCUGCGCAUUCAGUGGAACAGGACCACCCUUCUUCCAUUACUGAGGAGGACUAGUCUUCAAUCAAGUGUGUAGGAGUAGCUUCAUUUCCUUCCUACAACUUCUAAACAGGCUCUCAAGUUACUUGAUAAAGAUUUGAGUGUCCUAUUAGGGAAAACGUUAAAAUACGUAAUUAAUUU